rnacentral:tRNA from 1 species
AGUAAAAGUCAGCUAAAUAAGCUUUCGGGCCCAUACCCCGAGAAUGUGGGGUUAAACCCCCUCCUUUGCUA